GGCUCGGUGGUCUAGGGCGUAUGAUUCUCGCUUCGGGUGCGAGAGGUCCCGGGUUCAAAUCCCGGCCGAGCCG